rnacentral:rRNA from 1 species
UACGUAGGGUGCGAGCGUUAAUCGGAAUUACUGGGCGUAAAGCGUGCGCAGGCGGUCUUGCAAGACAGGUGUGAAAUCCCCGGGCUUAACCUGGGAACUGCACUUGUGACUGCAAGGCUGGAGUACGGCAGAGGGGGAUGGAAUUCCGCGUGUAGCAGUGAAAUGCGUAGAUAUGCGGAGGAACACCGAUGGCGAAGGCAAUCCCCUGGGCCUGUACUGACGCUCCAUGCACGAAAGCGUGGGGAGCAAACGGG